rnacentral:rRNA from 1 species
UCACCGGGUNAUGACGUUAGUACGGCGAGUGAAGCGGCAAAAGCUCAAAUUUGAAAUCUGGCACCUUCGGUGUCCGAGUUGUAAUUUGAAGAAGGUAACUUUGGAGUUGGCUCUUGUCUAUGUUCCUUGGAACAGGACGUCACAGAGGGUGAGAAUCCCGUGCGAUGAGAUGCCCAAUUCUAUGUAAAGUGCUUUCGAAGAGUCGAGUUGUUUGGGAAUGCAGCUCUAAGUGGGUGGUAAAUUCCAUCUAAAGCUAAAUAUUGGCGAGAGACCGAUAGCGAACAAGUACAGUGAUGGAAAGAUGAAAAGAACUUUGAAAAGAGAGUGAAAAAGUACGUGAAAUUGUUGAAAGGGAAGGGCUUGAGAUCAGACUUGGUAUUUUGCGAUCCUUUCCUUCUUGGUUGGGUUCCUCGCAGCUUACUGGGCCAGCAUCGGUUUGGAUGGUAGGAUAAUGACUAAGGAAUGUGGCUCUACUUCGGUGGAGUGUUAUAGCCUUGGUUGAUACUGCCUGUCUAGACCGAGGACUGCGUCUUUUGACUAGGAUGUUGGCAUAAUGAUCUUAAGCCACCCGUCUGAACACGAGGGGACAAAAAAA